UGGGGGAUAUUGCACAAUGGGGGGAACCCUGAUGCAGCGACGCCGCGUGAGUGAAGAAGCGCCUCGGCGCGUAAAGCCCUGUCAGCAGGGAAGAAAAUGACGGUACCUGAAGAAGAAGCCCCGGCUAACUACGUGCC
rnacentral:rRNA from 1 species